ACUUAAUUUCAGCAGCACCGAUUACUCAAUUACAUCAAUAAUUAGGGAGAAAACCACAUAUAAAUGAGGGGAAUGAGCACGUUACCAGCAUCCAGAAAAUUGGGAGAUUCCUUGGGAGAGUGUGGACCUCUCGAAUGUCCAUUGAUCUUGUUAAUUUUUCUUUUUAUUAUUGAAUAAAGAAUCUGCUUAUCUUAUAGCAGGUUUAUUCCUUUGUAAUCUCCAUUUUAGCGGUGGAAAUUAUCAUAAUAAAAUUCUUAUCAUGUUUGGAUCUAUCACUGGUAUCAGAGCUGUUACGAUCGGGAUGGUGAAUUUAUCAGAUCGUGUGAGAGAGUUGGAAGGGGUUCAUCGGCAAUUACAGGUCAGAUGGAAGAAAUGCAAGUGCAAUUGAAGAGGGUACAAAAUAUUGAGAAAAACAUGGCAAUCAUUCUCGAGAAAGUUUCCUUCGUGAGAUCAAAAUGGGAGGAAGUAGAAAGUGAGAAAAAAUGCAAGGAUAUCGGAAGAGGGGAGGAUUCAAAGUGCACUCUGCAUUCUAAAAAUUCCCCAGGUUUGGAGACAAGCAAUCGAGUCGGAAGUGGUGGUUCGGGAGAAAAUUGGAGACCCGAACUAAAGGGGAGGAGGCUGGAGAUGCCUGUGUUCUUGGGAAAGAAUCCAGACGACUAGAUCUUCAGGGCGGAAUGUUAUUUUGUGGUGAAUCAGUUGACAGAGGUGGAGAAAUUAGAGACAGCAGCACUGUGUUUCGAAGGUGAUGCACUCGCCUAGUACCAGUAGGUGCAGAAGAGAAAAGGGGUAAGAAAUUGGGAAGAGUUGUAAUUGAACAAAGAACUGGGAAUUUUUCUGUUAUAUUAUUCAUUGGAAAUCACGAUAUAUAUACAUGUACAAUCUCUCUAAGGUAUGCUAAUCUCUCUAGUUAAUUAUGCUAAUUUAGCUACUGAAAUUAGGCUAAUUAGAGACUAAUUAGGCUACUGUAAUUAGGCCUAAUUAGAGACUAAUUAGCUCGUAAUGUUAGCCUAUUAUUCUGUAACACUCUCCCUCAAACUGGAGCAUAGAUAUUAAUCAUGCCCAGCUUGUUACAAAGAUACUCAACCCUAAUCCCAUUUAAUGCCUUUGUGAAGAUAUCCCCAAGUUGCUCUCCAGUCUUCACAUAACUAGUAGAGAUUGUAUUUUCCUGGAUUUUCUCACGAAUGAAAUGACAGUCAACCUCAAUGUGUUUAGUCAUUUCAUGGUAUACCGGAUUUGAGACGAUAUGAAGGGCAGCUUGGUUGUCACACCAGAGUUUUGCUGGUACCGAAGGCUUCAAUCCAACCUCAGCUAGAAAAUGUUGUAUCCACAAAAUUUCACAUGUAGUCUGGGCUAUGGCUCUGUACUCCGAUACGACAUUGUGCUUCUUACUCCUCCAAGACAUAAGGUUUCCACCAACGAAGAUGCAUAUCCUGUAGUAGACCGUCUAUCAAUUUUAGAUCCAGCUCAAUCAGCAUCUGCAAAGCCUUCAAUGCAAAAAUGUCCGUGAUUGCUAUACACUAUACCAAGGCCAAGAGCUCUUUUUAGGUAACACGGGAUCUGUUCCAAUGCUGUCCAAUGUUUUACUGUAGGCGCAAACAUAAAUUGGCUAACAACACUGACAGCAUAAGCUAUAUCUGGACGAGUCGUUGUGAGAUAAUUUAGUUUCCCAACUAGUCUCCUGUACAUUUCUGGAUCAUCAAAGAAAUUACCAUCAUCUUUUGUAAGAUGUACAUUAGGAACCAUUGGAGUGUUGCAUGGCUUGGCUCCCAUCUUUCUGGUUUCUGCCAGCAGAUCAAGUACAUACUUUCUUUGAGACAAGAAUAUCCAUUUUUUGCUUCUUGUUACUUCUAUUUCGAGAAAAUAUUUUAGUUGGUCCAAGUCUUUUGUGUGAAAUUUGGUAUGCAGAAAUAACUUGAGAGAGGAGAUUCCUGCACAAUCAUCUCCUGUAAUGAUAAUGUCAUCAACAUAAACAACAAGAAGAAUAAUGCCAACUGCUGACUGUUUGUAGAAGACUGAGUGAUCACAUUUGCUCUUCUUCAACCCAAAAUCCUGAGCUACUUUACUGAACUUGCCAAACUAGGCACGGGGACUCUGUUUUAGACCAUACAGAGAUUUUUUCAGAUGAUAGACUUUCCCAUACUCCCCCUGAGCAACAAAUCCAGGUGGUUGCUCCAUAUACACCUCUUCCUGGAGAUCACCAUGAAGGAAUGCAUUCUUGAUAUCCAACUGGUGUAAGGGCCAAUCUUGGGAUGCGACAAUGGAUAUAAAUAGGCGGACAGAGGUAAGUUUGGCCACCGGAGAGAAGGUAUCCGAAUAAUCCACUCCAUAAGUCUGAGCAAAUCAUUUUGCAACAAGUCUAGCUUUAAGUCUUGCUACAGAACCAUUUGGAUUGACCUUGAUAGCAAAGACCCAUUUGCAUCCCACAGCUUUCUUACCUUUAGGCAGGUCUACCAACUCCCAUGUCUGAUUUUCAUCUAGAGCGUUUAUCUCCUCAAACAUUGCAUUCUUCCAUUCAGGAUGACUCAAGGCUUCUUUUACCGUUCUAGGCACAGAGAUUGAAUCUAAAAAGGUAAUUAAAGAACUAGACACAAGAGACAGAUGGUCGUAGGAAAUGAAGUUAGCUAUGGGAUAAAUAGAUUUAGGGAGUGUAUACUGGCGUUUACCUUUACGAAGACUAAUGGGAAGGUCAAGGUCGUUUGGAGAAUCAGAUGACGCAGUAGCCGGUGCAGGACAUAUAUCAUUGGUCUCUUGCCUUCUGGAAUAAACGUGGAUAACAGGCGGCUUUACUUGAGUAGGAGGUUGCUCAUUAGAGGUUCCGGGAGAUGUAAGAGAAGCGCCAUCAUCUGAUUGCUCAAUAGGAGCACUUAGAUGUGUGAUUUGGUAGAUUAGCCACUCAUCUUUCUCUCCCUGACUUGUAAAGAUGGAGGGAGAGGAGAAGAAUGGUGCAUUUUCUGAAAAGAUCACAUCAGUAGAAACUAGAUAUUUAUGGAGAUCAGGUGAGUAGCAUCGAUACCCUUUUUGAAGACGAGAAUAUCCUAGAAAAGCACACUUCAAGGCUUUUGGAUCUAGUUUAGUAAUGGAUGGCCUUACAUCACGAACGUAACAAGUGCUUCCAAAUACCCGUGGUUCCACUGGAAAUAGUGACUUGUUUGGAAAUAGAAUACUAUAUGGAAUAUCCCCGUCAAGUACUGUAGAUGGCAUGCGAUUAAUCAGAAAACAUGCUGUAGAGACGGCAUUAGCCCAGAACUGCUUAGGAACCUUCGUUUGAAACAAAAGAGCUCGAGCUGUUUCAAGUAGAUGUCUAUACUUUCUCUCAGUAACUCCAUUUUGAGGAGGAGUAUCAAUACAAGAGGAUUGAUGAAUAAUCCCAUGUUGAGUCAUGUAAGUCUGGAAUGAGUCUGACAUAUAUUUUUUUGCAUUAUCACUUCUUAGUAUAUGCACAGAAGUAUUAAAUUGGGUUUUAAUUUCAGCAUAAAAGGUACAAAAAUGAGAGAACACUUCAGAUCGAUUUUUCAUAAAGUAAAUCUAUGUCAUUCGAGAAAAAUCAUCCACAAAAGUAAUAAAAUAUCUAAACCCAGUUUUAGACACAACAGGACAUGGUCCCCAAACGUCUGAAUGAACCAACUCAAAAGCGGACUCAGCUCGUUUAUUAAUUCUCGGACCUAAUGAGCUACAGUGAUGUUUUGCAAAAUGACAUGACUCAUAAUCUAGUGAAGAUACAUCGUGGAACUGAGGGCAUAGUUUCUUCAAUGUAGACAGAGAUGGAUGUCCAAACUGACAAUGUGCUAUAACUGGGGAGCUGGUACUGGAACAAGCAACUGAUCGAGGCACCCACGUAUCAAGAAUAUAGAGACCAUCAGAUACAUGUCCUUUACCAAUAAUAUGCUUUUUCAUAAGAUCCUGAAAAAGGCAAUGAUCAGGAAAGAAUGAGAUACAAUAAUUAAGAUCCUUGGUAAGUCUACUUACAAAGAUCAAAUUAAAAGCGAGUUUUGGUAGACUCAGAACAGAUGACAAGGUAAUAGAGGAAGUUGGUUUAACAGUCCCAGAUCCCACAAUGUUAUAGGUUGACCCAUCAGCUAUGGUAACAGGAGAGGGAGCUUUGUGUGAUCGAAAGCUAGAGCAGGUACUAGAAUUACCUGUCAUGUGAUAUGUGGCCCCUGAAUCAAUUACCUAUUUCUUUGAAGAGGAGAUAAGACAUGUUUUACCUGAUUCGGCAAGGGCAGUAACUGGAGUGGAUUCCUUCAGUGAUUCUUGAUACUGAGAGAAUUUGGCAUACUCAUCACCUGAUAUCAUAAUAGUUUUCUCAAAAGAUGAACUAGGAGCAGCAGCAACAUUGGCGGUCUGAGUUCUCUGAUUGCAAUUCUGUAAUUUCCUAUAGUAUGGCUUGGUGUGGCCUGGUUCAUGGCAGUAGUAGCAGAUAACGUUGCUUGAAUCAUUGUUACGGUUAUCAGUAGUCUUGUUUCCUCUUUCCCUAUUGUUGGGCCUCAUUGCAUAGUAAUUUCCCCCUCCUUUGGUAACAAGAACAUUAUUUUGCUGAAUAGGUGAUGUAUUUUCAGUGCGUAGAACUCUACUGAAGACGUCUUGAAGAGAGGGAAUUUCAGAGCUAGAGAGAAUUUGAGAUUUGGAAGUCUCGAAUUCAGGAGGAAGACCAGCCACAAAGCUCAUAACCCCCAUUUGCUCCCUUUGAAUUUGCUAAACUUUGACAUCAGUGCUGAAUGGCAAUAGCAUAUUAAGUUCUUCAUACGUCCUUUUGAAGUCCAUGAAAUAAGCUGUGAGGGACUUGGUUUUCUUUUCAGCACGGUAAAAAGCCUUACAAACUUAAUAAAUUCGUGACACAUUUCCUUUGCCAGAAUACAAAAACUCCAGAUAGUCCAUUAGCUCUUUUACAAAUUCGCAGUGAUUAAUUAAACCAAUUACCUCACUAUCAAUAGAAUUUCUGAUUUGUAAAAAGAGUUUUGCAUCUUCUCACAACCAACUUUGUUUGGUAUCAUCUUUAGGUGGAUCUUUAUUUAAGUGAUCAUCUUUGUCUAUGCUCCGUAAAUAGAUUCUAAUCGUCUUACUCCAUUCCAGAUAAUUAGUGCUAUUCAAUUUAUGUUCAGCGAUUUUGGACAUCACUGGAAUGAUCUGGCUCACAGAUCCCUUGAACUCAGUCAUCGUUCAAUUAUCCAAUAAUAGGCAGAUUGAAAGACUCAAUUAAUCCAACCCAAACAAAAGUCCACAAAUAAUCCACCAAGUCUAACAGCCCAAAGUUAAAAUAAAUAUAUCCAAUAUGGCCCAAUUAAAUAGAUCACGUAUGUAGAGCCCAAUAGAAUAUAAGUAACGAACUCACCAGAAAUUAGCCAAAGAAAAUCUCGUAAUUCAAACCCAACAGAGACGACCGACCAGAAUUUUCCAUCCAGAAGCCAAGACUGUGUGUCUGGGUUACUCCACUAGGGUCACCGGAGAUAAAAAAAAAUUGUCCAAAAUCCACAAAACAGCGUCACAAAGACGCGAACCAGAGGCGAAAUCGCACAGUGAACCUGGAACGCAGACUCCAACCCAAAUAGAGACCGAGGGAUUCAGAAUGUGCCCAGCAACCCAAUUGAUCUGUUGGCAGAAAAACCAAACUGCCGGCAAUUAGGAGUGAAAAACCCAGAUGUCGGAAUCACAGAUGAUGCCGCCAGAAAUCCGGAGGCAAAGGGCUGACCACAGUGACCCUAACACAUAAAGAUGUCGCCUAAUUCAAAGAACCGAACUACGGGUAAGAUGGUUCAUGGCUCUGAUACCAUGUAAUUGAAUAGAGAGCUAGGAAUUUUUCUGUUAUAUUAUUUAUUGGAAAUCACGAUAUAUAUACAUGUACAAUCUCUCUAAGGUAUGCUAAUCUCUCUAGUUAAUUACGUUAAUUUAGCUACUGAAAUUAGGCUAAUUAGAGACUAAUUAGGCUACUGUAAUUAGGCCUAAUUAGAGACUAAUUAGCUCCUAAUUUUAGCCUAUUAUUCUGUAACAGAGCUCAAAGUGCUGAUGAGAUGUCAGUUUAGGUCUUCACUAGAAGGCACCUUGGAGGAACGAUUCCUUGCUCUUCGGUAGGAUCGGUCAGUGAUGGAGUAUAGGAUCGCCUUCGAGUUAUUGGCAGCGCAGAUCGGAGAGAUUUCUGACGCCAUCUUAGAGGGCAAUUUCAUAAAUGGGCUCAGACCGGAAAUAAGGGCCGAAAUUCGAGUGUUGAGGCCUAAGGGUUUAGAACAGAUUAUGGAGCUAGCCCAACGAAUUGAGGAGAAAAAUCUGAUGUUGCAGGCCUGUUUUGGCAGACUUGACCCAAUAAGAAACAAGGUCAUUUCUAAUCCAAAUUGGCAAAAUCCCCAACCCCGACAGAAAAUUUACAACAGCCCAAGCAUCAAUUCGCGAGCCAUGAUGUCGAUCGAGCCCAGAAAACCCCUUCGUACAGAUGCCGCGACUUCCAAUUUUAAAAAGCUCAGUGAAGCAGAGCUCAAGAGCAAGCAUGAGAGAGGACUUUGCUUCUGCUGUGAUGAGAAAUAUUCUAUUCGGCACUAAUGUAAGUACAAGGAAUUACAGGUUUUGCUGGUUCAUGAUGAGGAGGUAGAUGAGGGGUUGGAAAUUGAGGGGUUGAGCGAUGAAUUGGCUGAAGGAAGGCAGACCAUUACAGGUGAAGUGGUGGAGUUGUCCAUGAACUCGGUGGUAGGACUCACUCUGCCUCAAACCAUGAAGGUAUAAGGGAAAAUUUCAGGUCAAGAGGUGGUAGUACUAAUUGAUUGUGGAGCUAGCCACAAUUUUAUUUCGGCUGGACUCGGCUGGAUUAGUACAGAAGUUAGGUUUACCAAGAACAGAUACAAUUGGAUAUGGGGUGAUUAUGGGUACAGGUAUGGCGGUGCAAGGAGCAGGGGUGUGCAAAGGAGUGCAUCUAUCUCUCCAAAACAUUGAAGUGGUUGAAGAUUUUCUUCCAUUGGACUUGGGGAGUUCCGACGUGAUUCUAGGGAUGAAGUGGCUAUCCUCAUUAGGGCCAACAAAGGUUAACUAGAAAAAUCUUACAAUGAAAUUCUAGGUUGGCGGUAAUACCAUGAAUUUGCGAGGGGAUCCAAGCUUGAGUAAGACUUUAGUCACCUUGAAAGCUAUGAUGAAAGCAUUCAAGGAAGGUGGUGAAGGUAUGCUUCUUGAAUUAGGCAGUAUGGGAGUCGAAGUUGGAAGAGAACAUGGUGAGCCACCAGCAGAAAUUGUAGAGGUGUUGAGUGAAUUUGGGGAGGUUUUUGAAGAACCUAAGGGGCUGCCGCCACAACGAGGCAAGGAUCAUGCCAUCCACUUGCAACCAGGAACAAGCCCGAUUAGUGUGAGGCCAUAUCGCUACCCACAUGUCCAGAAAAAUGAGAUCGAGAAAUUGGUAAAAGUGAUGCUAGCUGCCGGAAUUAUCAGGCCAAGUACCAGUCCAUUUUCGAGUCCAGUAUUAUUAGUGAAGAAAAGAGAUGGAGGGUGGCGCUUCUGUGUAGAUUAUAGAGCCGUAAACAAGGUGGUGGCGAUACCUGAUAAGUUUCCCAUUCCGAUGAUAUACGAACUGUUGGAUGAACUACAUGGAGCGACGAUCUUCUCUAAGCUCGACUUAAAGGCUGGCUAUCAUCGAAUUCGGGUCAAACCGGAGGAUAUCUUGAAGACAGCGUUCAGAACACACGAAGGGCAUUACGAGUUCUUGGUGAUGCCAUUCGGGCUAACAAAUGCACCCACCACAUUUCAGUCACUGGUGAAUGAAGUGUUUAAAGAACAGUUGAGGCGGUUUGUUCUUGUGUUUUUUGAUGAUAUUUUGGUAUUCAGUCGAAGUCUAGAGGAUCAUGUGAAGCAUUUGAGGGAGGUCUUGCAGCUGUUGAAACAACAUCAAUUGUACGCCAAUUGCAAGAAAUGUAGCUUCGGUCAACCAGAAGUAGAAUACUUGGGGCACUGCAUUUCAUACCGAGGUGUGGCCGCAGAUAAAUCGAAGAUUCAAGCUAUGGUAGACUGGCCUAGUCCCAACUCAUUGCGAGAGUUGAGGGGAUUUUUGGGGCUCACAGGAUAUUAUCGCCGUUUUGUGAACGAUUAUGGUAAACUUGCAUGGCCAUUAAUAGAAAGGUUACGCAAGGAUAAUUUUUUCUGUGAUGAAGAAGCAGAUCAAGCAUUUAAAACACUAAAAACUAGGGAUGGCAAUCGGGCUCGCCGGCUCGGGCCGCCCGUGGCUCGGCUCGGGAAAAGCUCGAGCCGGCUCGGCUCGAGGCUCGGUAGACCCGAACCUAAGCUCGGGCCGAGCCCCAUUUUGGGGACACGGGCUUUGCCCGAGCCGGCCGGUGAGCUCGCGAGCUUUUUAAUAAAAAAAAAAAUUAUAUUUAAGGCAAAACUGCUGCCUUUUAAAGGCAGCAGUUCGCUGCCUUAAUUUAAGGCAGCAAGCUGCUGCCUUAUAGGCAGCAAAACUGCUGCCUUUUAAGGCAGCAUGAGGUUAAAAAAAAAAAAAAAAAAGAGGGAGAAAACGAGCCUGCCCGGCUCGGCCCGUAAAAGCCCGAGCAAAAGCUCGGGCCGAGCCUAUUUUUUUGGCCGAGCUUUUGUUCGGCCCGACUCGAGCCCGCAAAAAAGCUCGGUUAUUUUAACCGGGCCGAGCCCGAGCCGAAACUUUAGGCUCGCGAGCCGGCUUGGCCCGGCUCGUUUACAUCCCUACUAAAAACUGCCAUGACAUCAGUACCAGUCCUCGCCCUUCUGGACUUCAACCGUCCCUUUAUAGUAGAGACAGAUGCUUCAGGCUUUGGCUUGGGGGUUGUACUAAUGCAAAACCAACAUCCUAUUGCGUACUAUAGCUGUGUGCUCAAUCCAAAGGGGAAGGCGAAGUCAACUUAUGAAAGGGAAUUGAUGGCGAUCGUGUUUGCAAUUCAAAAGUGGAAACACUACUUGCAUGGUCACAAAUUCUAUGUGCGAAUGGAUCAAAAAAGUUUGAAAUUCUUAUUGGAGCAACGAGAAGUAAACUCGGAAUAUUAGAAGUGGCUACUUAAAUUAAUGAGUUAUCAAUUCGAGGUUCAAUAUCGGCUGGGAAGGGAAAACAAGGCUGCUAAUGCCCUUUCCUGUGUUAGCUCUUCCACCGAGUUAAUGACAAUGUCGGUUCCUGCAGUAGUACAACUAGACACUCUAGCAAAAGAGGUUCGGACGAACUCACAGCUACAAACUAUUAUUCAAGAACUCAAGCAAGAUCCUUCUAGCAGGCUAGAUUUUGCUCUGGUAAAUGGCCAGCUGUUGUUUGAAGGACGUUUAUUCCUGCCCAAGGGGUCAUCAUUGAUCCCAUUGAUGUUACAAGAGGGUCACGACAGCAAGAUUGCUGGACACUCUGGCUUUCGAAAAACUUAUAGUCGUAUCGCUGAGAAUGUCUAUUGGGAGGGGAUGAAAGCUGAUAUUCAGCGUUAUGUGAACCAAUGUGCAGUUUGUCAACAAAACAAGUAUAUUACACUAUCACCGGGAGGCUUGUUGCAACCUCUUCCGAUUCCUAAUCAGGUUUGGGAGGACAUAGCAAUGGAUUUCAUUGAAGGACUACCGAAAUCAAGCAACAUGGAUACAAUCUUAGUAGUGGUGGAUAGAUUAAGCAAGUAUGGGCAUUUUAUAGGGCUUAAGCACCCUUUCACAACGGCAAGUGUGGCUGAAGUUUUUGUUAAAGAGGUGGUGUGACUACAUGGGGUACCUCGCUCCAUUGUAUCAGAUAGAGACAAGAUCUUAGUCAGCAAUUUUUGGGAGGAAUUAUUUCGUUUGCAAGGUACUAAGCUCAAUCGUAGUACUGCUUACCAUCCCCAAUCAGAUGGACCUAAAUUGCACCCUAGAAACAUAUCUUUGCUGUUUUGCUUCAUCACGACCCAAAUCUUGGUUCAGCUGGUUACCUUGGGCCGAGUUAUGGUAUAACACAUCCUUCCAUACAGCAAGCAAGACGACUCCUUUCCAGGUCGUCUACGGGCGCAAACCUCCUGCUCUACUGAAGUUUGAAAAAGGAUCCACCCCAGUUUCAGCAAUAGAGCAGCAACUCCUUGAAAGGGAUCAGGUUUUAGAGAAAUUGAAAGCACAAUUAUUGCAAACUCAAGCAAGGAUGAAAGGCAUAGCUGACCGCAAGAGAAGAAAUGUUCAGUUCGAGGUUGGAGAUCUUGUGUACUUGAAGAUUAGGCCGUAUCGUCGCAAAUCCUUAGCUGCGCGACCUAACGGGAAGUUAGCACCAUGGUUUUACGGUCCGUUUGCAGUUGGUCAGAGGAUUGGUCAGGUUGCUUAUAAGCUAAUUCUUCCUCCAACAUGUAACAUUCAUCCUGUAUUUCAUGUAUCCCAGCUACGUAAGACAGAAGGGGCUGUGCAGGCCGUGAAGGAACUACCUAGCCAAUUGAAUGAGGAGUUGGAAAUGUUGGUUGAGCUAGAAGCAUUACUUAGGGUGCGACCUGGCUUGGGAAGCAACAUUCGAGGCUUGGAUGUUUUAAUACAAUGGAAAGGACUACCACACUUGAGGCCACGUGGGAGCCUUACGACGUGAUCAAGCAACAGUUUCCUUCCUUUCACCUUGAGGACAAGGUGAAACUUAUGGGGGGAGGUAAUGAUAGACCCGCAAUCCAUGCAACUUACCAAAGGCGCGGGAAUUAAGGAAAAGCAGAUUGUAUAAUUUCAGCACCAAGAUUGCAUAAUUCCAGCACCAAUUACAUAAUCCCAGAACCAGUCACUUAAUUUCAGCAGCACCGAUUACUCAAUUACAGCAAUAAUUAGGGAGGAAAACCACAUAUAAAUGAGGGGAAUGAGCACGUUACUAGCAUCCAGAAAAUUGGGAGAUUCCUUGGGAGAGUGUGGACCUCUCGAAUGUCCAUUGAUCUUAUUAAUUUUUCUUUUUAUUAUUGAAUAAAGAAUCUGCUUAUCUUAUAGCAGGUUCAUUCCUUUG
rnacentral:lncRNA from 1 species